rnacentral:tRNA from 1 species
GCAGUGGUGAUUCAGUGGUUGAAAUCUCCCCUUCUAUGCAGAAAACCUGGGUUCGAUUCCCGGUCACUGCA